GACGAACCGGGGGUUUCGACCCCUCUGACGGUACCGGGUGAGGAAGCACCGGCUAACUCCGUGCCAGCAGCCGCGGUAAUACGGAGGGUGCGAGCGUUGUCCGGAAUCACUGGGCGUAAAGGGCGCGUAGGCGGCUUCUUAAGCGUGUGGUGAAAGUCCGGGGCUCAACCCCGGAUCGGCCGUGCGAACUGGGGAGCUGGAGCACUGUAGAGGCGGGUGGAAUUCCGGGUGUAGCGGUGGAAUGCGUAGAGAUCCGGAAGAACACCAGUGGCGAAGGCGGCCCGCUGGGCAGUGACCGGAAGGUCUAGGGCGCAAGCCCGAGCUGACGCUGAGGCGCGACAGCGUGGGGAGCAAACAGGAUUAGAUACCCUGGUAGUCCACGCCGUAAACGAUGGGCACUAGGUGCCUGGGGGAGCGACCCCUCGGGUGCCGGCGCUAACGCAUUAAGUGCCCCGCCUGGGGAGUACGGCCGCAAGGCUGAAACUCAAAGGAAUUGGCGGGGGCCCGCACAAGCGGUGGAGCAUGUGGUUUAAUUCGACGCAACGCGAAGAACCUUACCCAGGCUUGACAUGCACGCGAAACCCCGUGGAAACACGGGGCCCUCUUCGGAGCGCGUGCAC
rnacentral:rRNA from 1 species